UGCCCAUCAAAUCCGCCCAGCUACCCACUUUGGCAAAUAGACUACCCGGAUCGCUCAUGGGCGACUUUUUUGGGCGACGAACCGUGGGUAAACCGGGUUUUCGAGAACCGGGGCCGAGCCCUACCCACCACUUCAUUAUUCGGCGAAAACCACAAUUUUCAUAAAAUGUGGCAGUGGUGUUUGUGUCCCCUCUCCCCUUCUCUCUAUCUUAGGUUGUCUGCUAUGUGCUGUCAAUAUUUAUUAAUUUUAUAAUUUAUACGCUGUCGAUUCUCGAUUCAGUGUGCCCAACUGAUUACUGCAUCAGUCUUCAAGAAAAAUGGUGGACAAGGGAAAAUGAAAAAAAAAAUAAUAACGUCUGCUAGUUUUUUUAAAAUUAUUCGUGAAUGCUUUGUCAUAUAACAAUUGUAUUCGGCAAAGAAAAAGGGGUUGGGUCGUCUGCUUCGGUUCUGGUUCUACCAUGCUCUAGGACCAUGGUAGAACUCGGCCAUAUAGAUUGGCGGUUGAAGUUGAACCUCAACCAAGGGGGGAAAUAUCAGUUGUCGCCAAAACAUUGGUUCAGUUCAACCAGGUUGACACAAAAAUGCGGUUGAUCGCAACUCAACCUCAUUCCUGAUCAACCAGGUAGACGCCAAAACGCGCCUUAAAUAGCAGAGCGAUAAGAAGACGAUUAUUUUACAAUCUACGCAUGGAAAUAGAUGGCAAAGUCUUGGUUUACUGAAAUUUGAAUACACAGCUCGAUUAGGGAGAACGUCUGAAAAUAGCGUUUGACCUAAUUUCGAAAUUUAAAGCUUUAAAAAACUUCUUGGAGAUGCAGGGUAUCGAUCCCCGUACUUCUCGCAUGCUAAGCGAGCGCUCUACCAUCUGAGCUACAUCCCCUGUAAUAUUCAAUCAAUUUUAAAAAAUUUAAGCCGCGGACGGUUUUGCUCUAAUUCGAGAAUCCGGUUAAGCCAAUAAAUUCAAGAUUUCUCUACUGGAAAGGCAACAAAAUUAAGAAAUAAACCAGAAAAAUUCGAAGCAAAAAAGUUUCUCAAAUUUCUGCUUAAUUUAAAACAUACCGCGACUUAGUGAGAACAACAAAGAAGAAUUUGAAAUUCAAUUGAAUUUUAAUUUAGAAUGACUACAAUAAAAUUUAAUUGGAGAUGCAGGGUAUCGAUCCCCGUACUUCUCGCAUGCUAAGCGAGCGCUCUACCAUCUGAGCUACAUCCCCUGAAAAAUCAAAUCAAUUAAAAAAAGUAUAAGCCGCGGACGGCUUUGUUCUAAUUCGUGAACCGGUCAAGCCAAUAAAUCAUAAUUUCACUCCUCGUAGGGCAACAAAAAUAAGAAAUACACCUGCAAGAUUCGAUUCAAAUGGUUUCAAUAUUUUUGCCUAACAUAAAACAUACCUUGACUUAGUGGGGGCAAAAAAUAAUAUAAUGAAUUUUAUAGGAUUUCGAUUUAAAGUAGUAACAACAAAAUUUAAUUGGAGAUGCAGGGUAUCGAUCCCCGUACUUCUCGCAUGCUAAGCGAGCGCUCUACCAUCUGAGCUACAUCCCCGUAUUAUCAGUUUUCUAAUUUAACAUAAUUAAAUUUUUGACAUUUGAUAGAAUCAGACGUCACGAUGGAUAUGCAAUUCCCCGCUUUCCAAUUCAGCUAAAAAAAAAGAUGAAAACCUACAUCGGUUAUAGACUAAUUAUAUCCCAGGCUAUCACAGAGUAGUACAGCACGGAAACGAAAACCUUGCUCAAUUAUUUUUGGGCACUGUCCACGACAAUCCCUGACAUGUGACCUGAAUGCCUUAGCCGCUAAUAUAAAAAAAAAACUUUUUGGAGAUGCAGGGUAUCGAUCCCCGUACUUCUCGCAUGCUAAGCGAGCGCUCUACCAUCUGAGCUACAUCCCCUCGUACAAAACAUUAACAAUAAAAAAAAAAAAUAGCCAUAAAAAAAUAGCAAAUGGGGAUCCCGACAUCCACGUGAAGCGUCAGAAUUUAAAAA